UGAUAACUUUCAGGGAAAGUCCGAUUUUAGAGCUCCUCUACUCACGGGUUCUAACAACUACAAUUGGUGUAAAGGCCAAAUGGAGGCUCAUCUGUCCAGAGAUCCCUUAAUGCAAAGAGUGGUGCAAAGAGGUCCUUAUGAAUAUCUUGAUAAAGAUGGCAAAGUCAAGGACGUUGAUGUUCUCACAGUGGACGAGCUAUCAAAGGUUGCU
rnacentral:lncRNA from 1 species